AUUGAACGCUGGCGGCAGGCCUAACACAUGCCAGUCGCGCGGAGCGGCGGACGGGUGAGUAAUGCCUAGGAAUCUGCCUGGUAGUGGGGGAUCACGUCCGGAAACGGGAGCUCAGACCGCAUACUAUCAGAUGAGCCUAGGUCGGAUUAGCUAGUUGGUGGGGUAAAGGCCUACCAAGGCUACGAUCCGUAACUGGUCUGAGAGGAUGAUCAGUCACACUGUAACUGAGACACGGUCCAGACGCCUACGGGAGGCAACAGUGGGGAAAUUUGGGCAAUGGGCGAAGGCCUGAUACAGCCAUGCCGCUUGUGCAAAGAAGGGCUUCCGAUGGAGAAGCAAUUUCAGGCGCGAUGCGUUAUCAACAGAAUGUGCCCCGGCUAACUUCGUGCCAGCAGCCGCGGUAAUUC
rnacentral:rRNA from 1 species